UACGUAGGGGGCAAGCGUUAUCCGGAUUUACUGGGUGUAAAGGGAGCGUAGACGGACUGGCAAGUCUGAUGUGAAAGGCGGGGGCUCAACCCCUGGACUGCAUUGGAAACUGUUAGUCUUGAGUGCCGGAGAGGUAAGCGGAAUUCCUAGUGUAGCGGUGAAAUGCGUAGAUAUUAGGAGGAACACCAGUGGCGAAGGCGGCUUACUGGAAGGUAACUGACGUUGAGGCUCGAAAGCGUGGGGAGCAAACAGG
rnacentral:rRNA from 1 species